UCUGAUCCUGGCUGGACCCCGCGGCUCAUUCUGACUUUGGUCUCAGGGUUCUAAGGUCCCGGGUGCAGAGGGAAGCUCUGAGAGUGCGGAGGCUGAGUCUCAACACGGUGAGGCCAGCAGCACGAGAGCCACGGAUGCGCGUGUGAGUGAGUGGGUGAGGGUCCUCUUCAGCAAAGAGCGGCUCCCUUUCCUUUACUUCCCUUUGGGUUACUGACGGAUCUCUGUGCUCUCAAAAUUAACCUUUGCACAUUCUUACAUACUGAUUGAUGCAUCUUAACUUAUUUCAUUGUUUUCAUCAAUUUAGAAGAAGUGGUAAAACGCGGAGGAAGAUCACUGGGGAGAUCCAGACUCCAGAAACCUCCCUGCAAAGCCCCUGCCUGCACCCAGGCAGGCACCACCGGACACAAGAGCGGGCUCUGUGUGCUGGCUCCACAAGGCGCCUGAUUCAUGAAAGCCCUACAGGAAUUUAAUUAGCGAAGGAAUGCAUGAGGCUUAAGAGCUUCGGAUGUCAUUAACUGCCGGGAGGGGAGAGGGAGGAGAGGAAAGCUAACAGAUGUCGGAUUCAGCCGUGUUCCUGUGGAACAGACCGUUGCUGCGCUGUUUUUUCUGUUUGGGUGACUUUUAGUCACUGUUUCAGCAAGAGUGACCAUGGACCACAAGCAGAAGCACAUCGGUCUUCGGCUCCAGAAAGUUAGACGGUGGUCGGCCUGAGAAGGAGCUGCCGGCUUCAGGUUUGAUUCUCUGAAAGUUCAGUAGCCCUUUUCUCCUUCUGAAUCAGGCUUUGGGUGUAGGGAAGACUUCCUGGGACUGUCAGCCAAGCACCAGCCCUGGGCAGCUUCUGGUCCUGGAUUGACCUCAGAGCCCCAAGGCUGCCAGAGAAGACUUGAGCUGGACAAGUCAGCUGAAGUGGAUUUGGCAUUGACUGCUCUUCCACCAAAAUGAAAGAUGCAUUUUUAUAAACAGGGGUGAACGUCCAGACUCAGUGUUGUCAGAGAAUCAAGAAAUGCAAGCGCUUCCAGGCUGGGUUCCCGUCCCGCCGCCCGCUCCAUGCAUAGCCUGCUCGGUGCUGCUGAUGUCUGAGGACCCUCGAUUCUGCGUGACAGGAGAGGAAGUGAAGACACGGCCCAGUCCUGCUCCACAGCCACGUGUGGGCUCCGGCCUGCUCUUGAGUAUUCUGAAGAGCGCGCUGCUUCUCCGCACAAGUGUGGGGUAAUGGUGCUCGCUGCUGAUUGCUGCCCGCCCUCAAUCACUCUCUUUGUAAUGCCAAGCACUCAAGGAAGAGGGAGGAAAUCAGCAGCCGGGCUCCUCUCCGGGCACCUUGAUUGCUGGACCUCUGCACUCGGGACACUGCGCCCUCUGCCAUUGUCCGCAGGCUCCUUCGCCCCUUUCCACAUUUAACCCUCCCAGUAUGGCAGAAGUGACACCUAGGGGAACCGAUCUGAGCAGGGAGACGUUUCCUGAUAGUCGGAUGUGACACUAGAUGUUUUGGUCACCUAGUUAUGUUAUUUUCACAGCCUUUUCCUAUCUACUUAAAAACUUACCUUGCAUGUGUUUAA